rnacentral:rRNA from 1 species
UAAGGAGUGUGUAACAACUCACCUGCCGAAUGAAGCAGCCCCGAAAAUGGAUGACGCUUUUUCAUGAGAAGUAUGCUGGACCAUAUCGCGAAACAUUACGUGCGGUAUGAGUAGGAGGGUGUCUAUUGCAUAGUUAAGGUUAUGAUUGAUCACAACUGGAGUGCAAUUGGGUACAGAUCUUGGUGAUAGUAGCAACUAUUCACAACACCAUUGUGAAUGCUUAUGCAGAGAAAGGUUCCAUGUGAACAGAAAUUGGACAUGGGUUAAUCGAUCCUAAGCAGAAUGAAAGAUCACAUUAUAGUUUAAUCACACUGCAACAGGGAAAUGUAUCGUGUUUACCAUAUCUGGUCUGCCAUUGCACCUGGUAACGGAGGGUGUGUCAGGUACGUCAUUGUGUGGGAUGUGAGGUGUUGUCUUUACUUCUUAACUGUGGGUAAGCCUGGAAGUGUGCCAAACAGAGAUAGGUGCUUCGCACAGAAAGUAGACCCCGCAUUACGGUGUUUGCGAUCUUCACACAAUGACGCCUCAAAAUCUGACGCGCCAUAUGCAGUGCAGCAGGUUGUACUAAUAUCCGCAUCAGGUCUCUAAGGUGAGUAGCCUCUGGUACGUAGAUUCAUGUGAGUAAGGGAAGUCGGCAACUUGGUUCCGUAUCCUUGGGAAAAGGAAUGGCUCUGACGAUUG